UACGGGGGGGCAAGCGUUGUUCGGAAUUACUGGGCGUAAAGGGCUCGUAGGCGGCCAACUAAGUCAGACGUGAAAUCCCUCGGCUUAACCGGGGAACUGCAUCUGAUACUGGAUGGCUUGAGUUCGGGAGAGGGAUGCGGAAUUCCAGGUGUAGCGGUGAAAUGCGUAGAUAUCGAGAGGAACACCGGUGGCGAAGGCGGCCUCUGGACAGUGACUGACGCUGAGACGCGAAAGCGUGGGGAGCAAACAGG
rnacentral:rRNA from 1 species